GAUAAGAACGCAGCGAAAUGCGAUAAGUAGUGUGAAUUGCAGAAUUCAGUGAAUCAUCGAAUCUUUGAACGCACAUUGCGCCCCUUGGUAUUCCAUGGGGCAUGCCUGUUCGAGCGUCAUUUGUACCUUCAAGCUUUGCUUGGUGUUGGGUGUUUGUCUCGCCUUUGCGUGUAGACUCGCCUUAAAAUAAUUGGCAGCCGGCGUAUUGAUUUCGGAGCGCAGUACAUCUCGCGCUUUGCACUCAUAACGACAGCGUCCAAAAGUACAUUUUACACUCUUGACCUCGGAUCAGGUAGGGAUACCCGCUGAACUUAAGCAUAUCAAUAAGCGGAGGA
rnacentral:misc_RNA from 1 species